rnacentral:rRNA from 1 species
GAUGAACGCUGGCGGCGUGCCUAAUACAUGCAAGUCGAGCGAAUGGAUUAAGAGCUUGCUCUUAUGAAGUUAGCGGCGGACGGGUGAGUAACACGUGGGUAACCUGCCCAUAAGACUGGGAUAACUCCGGGAAACCGGGGCUAAUACCGGAUAACAUUUUGAGCCGCAUGGUUCGAAAUUGAAAGGCGGCUUCGGCUGUCACUUAUGGCUGGACCCGCGUCGCAUUAGCUAGUUGGUGAGGUAACGGCUCACCAAGGCAACGAUGCGUAGCCGACCUGAGAGGGUGAUCGGCCACACUGGGACUGAGACACGGCCCAGACUCCUACGGAGGCAGCAGUAGGGAAUCUUCCGCAAUGGACGAAAGUCUGACGGAGCAACGCCGCGUGAGUGAUGAAGGCUUUCGGGUCGUAAAACUCUGUUGUUAGGGAAGAACAAGUGCUAGUUGAAUAAGCUGGCACCUUGACGGUACCUAACCAGAAAGCCACGGCUAACUACGUGCCAGCCGCCGCAGUAA